AAAUACACUUGAACUGAAUUGAUUUGGAUCACCCAAAAGUUAUUUUGGGAAUCCUUGACAUGAAUUAAAUGUGAUGAAAUAAUUAUUAAUCUCAUAAAAGCAGAAAAUAAAAACAUAAAACACACACACACACACAUACCAACACACACACACACACACAUACCAACACACACACACACACACACACACACCCACACACAAACAAACACACACACAUACAAACACACUGAGGAUAACAACUACAUUUGGAGACCACCUAACUUUAGAGUGCGCCCUAGUGAUCAAGUUCUAUCCUUAUUCUCUACACAUCUUAAAGAUCUAGGCAGGUGGGUCUUGGAGGGGGGAAUAAAGUGUUCCUGGAGCUAGCUACGGCAUGGGACAGCUUACAUUAGUUAGCUUAGCUUAAUGAAGUGUUCCUGGAGCUAGCUACGGCAUGGGACAGCUUACAUUAGUUAUCUUAGCUGAAUGAAGUGUUCCUGGAGCUAGCUACGGCAUGUGACAGCUUACAGUAGUUAGCUUAGCUGAGUGAAUUAAUUAAUUAAGAGCAUGAAUUCUGAUGACUCAUUCUCCCUGAAAGGUGCAUUUCUUACACAAACCAAACAAAUCUCACACCGUGUGUGAAACACUUUUCUUGAAUUAUGAAUUAAUUUGAAUUAUGGAUUAAAUCUUAAAUUGAUGAGAAUUUUAAUUAGAAUUGGCCCUAAAAAAAAAAGUGAAAGCCAAACAGAGCGGAACCCGAUGUGUUAGGUUCAUGGGGGUUUGUGUCAACAUGGACAUUUGACUGCAACCAUUUUGAACCUUUUAAUUAUUUAUUAAGAGUGUACUCCAAAUUUAAGGACGCUAACAAUGGAGAGCCUCCAGCUAAACAUGUCCUAGACUUCCCCUGCCGGCCCCCGAGGCAUGGCAAUGAUAAAUAAAUAAAUGUUCUUACUUAAUUCUAAUAAAUAAAACAAAAUAGAAGGAAGGUAGAAAGGUCUUUUUGAGGCUAUUAUUUGACACUUUCUGUAGUAAGCCUGAGCCAAGACAUAAACAAAGCUGACUGUAAUAGAUUAUUGAUUUAAAGCUUCAGACACAAGCACUUUACUUCUAAAAGUAGACUUUUUCUACUUUGUCCCAUUGUGGACCUGUCUCUCUCAGGCUAGCGUCCUUGUUGUCUCUCUCAUGCUACUGCCCUUGUUGUCUCUUUCAUGGCCAGUGUCCUUGCUGUCUCUCUCUCUCUCAUGGCCAGUGUCCUUGCUGUCUGUCCUUGCUGUCUCUCUCUCUCAGGCUAGUGUCCUUGCUGUCUCUCUCUCUCUCAGGCUAGUGUCCUUGCUGUCUGUCUCUCUCAUGGCUAGUGUCCUUGCUGUCUCUCUCUCUCAUGGCCAUGUCCUUGCUGUCUCUCUCUCUCAUGGCCAGUGUCCUUGCUGUCUCUCUCAUGGCUAGCAUCCUCUGGUCUACUUUACCCUUACACAACACAGCUCUGUGAUGGACUACUAUACCCUUACACAACACAGCACUGUGAUGGACUACUUUACCCUUACACAACACAACACAGCUCUGUGAUGGACUACUAUACCCUUACACAACACAGCUCUGUGAUGGACUACUAUACCCUUACACAACACAGCUCUGUGAUGGACUACUAUACCCUUACACAACACAGCUCUGUGAUGGACCCCUAGACUCCGGAGACUCACUCGACAAACACAAGGCACUGGCAAAGCUGCCCGCGGCGGGUCAGAGGGUAGUGCCAAGGCAAGGCAGACGCCAUGCUGGAGAGCCAGGGCAAAGGGGGGAUGGGAAGGGUAUGUGGG
ensembl:lncRNA